AUAUUAUUUAGUUAAAAUAAAAUUAAUUAAUUGAAUCUAUAAACUGUCCCAAAAUAUUCAGUUUACAGUGAAAUAAAAGAGUGAAUAUUAUUUACUUGAAAAAAGACUUAAACAAUCAUCAGAACUGUUGCACAUUGAUUAAGUAAUCAAUAAAUCGACUGUUGGAGCUCUGCUGACGGGAGAUAUUAAAGGAAAUAAGCCAAACUUCAUGUACAUUCAAUAAGCUCCUAAAAUCUUCCAUCUGCUUCGAGUCGUCAUCUCCAAAAAAUGGUGAAACCGGACACCGGGAGGCUCGACCGCCUUUAACCCCUUCACUGCCUCCCCGAGAGCCCAGAACCAGAGAGCAGAGACCAGAACUGACACAGACACUGUUUGUUUGUUUGUUUGUUUGUUUACACACUGUGUUGGGAUGUGAGUUUAACCUUAAUAGAAAUAUUGAACCUUUCUCUCUGUGUUUAUCUGCUGCUUGUUGUUAUUGAUUAUAUGACACAGUUACACUAUUUAUUACUGAUUACACAUAAAUGCAUCAGUAAUAAUUAAUAAUAUCAAUAAACACCAACAGAGGUCAUUUUUCUGCAUUAUUGGUGCUUUUAAUUAAGAAUAUUUAGCUCUAAUACAAACUGCUGUUUGUGUAUAAGUGAAUAUAAAUCUGUUACUUUAUAAAUGAAGCUGUGAUUUUAAUGUGUAAACGACCUUUAAUGGAGCUGGUUAUUGAUACUUCUACCACUGACUGACUUUAUGCAUCUUUAUUAAUAAUUAUUAUUAUUAGAACUUUUGUUAUUGUUAUUAUUGCAGGUUAUUGAUAUUUUACUUUAUAUAUCGAUGGAAAUAAAUGUUUUUACUUUAAACAUCACCUGGAUUCAGUUUGUUCUGUACAUAAAUACAUAAACAAUAUUCACCAUCAUCACACACUGUUACUAUGGUUACUACUGUACUUAUAUAACUUAUAUAACAUUGAAAAACUUUAAUAAUAAAUAAACUGAUUUGAAUUUUUCUUACUGACAGUAAAC
rnacentral:lncRNA from 1 species